CAUAUCACAUGCAGAGGGGAGGAUUUUGUGUGGGAGUGUCUGGGUGUAUUGUACGGAUUGAUUGGUUGUUUUGUAACACCCUGUGGGCUGUACUAUGUUUGUGGAUUGGGAAUAAAAGAGACUGUAUGUGACAGUACAGGGAGUUCCUGUUUUAACCCUCAAAGUGAAGUGUCGUCUCAUUAUUGGGGGAAGGAUUUAUUGUAUGCUGUUCCAGUUUGACUGCUAGGAGAGUAAACCUAUUCGUAUGGUUCCUAUUCAACUGUCUACAGCAUUCAUAUGCUUGGGAGAAUUUAUUUGUUUCUCUGGUUCGGUGAUUGUGGUGUCUGCCAGAGUGC